UACGUAGGGCGCAAGCGUUAUCCGGAAUUAUUGGGUGCGUAAAGAGCUCGUAGGCGGUUUGUCGCGUCUGCCGUGAAAGUCCGGGGCUCAACUCCGGAUCUGCAGUGGGUACGGGCAGACUAGAGUGUGGUAGGGGGAGACUGGAAUUCCUGGUGUAGCGGUGGAAUGCGCAGAUAUCAGGAGGAACACCGAUGGCGAAGGCAGGUCUCUGGGCCAUUACUGACACUGAGAAGCGAAAAGCAUGGGGAGCGAACAGG
rnacentral:rRNA from 1 species